CCAAUAGCGUAUAUUAAAGUUGUUGCAGUUAAAAAGCUCGUAGUUGAAUUUCGGGGUUAGUAGGCUGGUCGUGCCACCGGUAUGUACUGGUCUUACUGAUUCCUCCUUCCUGAUGAACCGUAAUGCCAUUAAUUUGGUGUUGCAGGGAAUCUGGACUGUUACUUUGAAAAAAUUAGAGUGUUUAAAGCAGGCUAACGCUUGAAUACAUUAGCAUGGAAUAAUGAAAUAGGACGUUCGAUCCUAUUUUGUUGGUUUCUAGGAUUGACGUAAUGAUUAAUAGGGAUAGUUGGGGGCAUUAGUAUUCAAUUGUCAGAGGUGAAAUUCUUGGAUUUAUUGAAGACUAACUGCUGCGAAAGCAUUUGCCAAGGAUGUUUUCAUUAAUCAAGAACGAAAGUUAGGGGAUCGAAGACGAUCAGAUACCGUCGUAGUCUUAACCAUAAACUAUGCCGACUAGGGAUCGGAUGAUGUUAAUUUUUUAAUGACUCAUUCGGCGCCUUACG
rnacentral:rRNA from 1 species